rnacentral:tRNA from 2 species
CACUAAGAAGCUAAUAGCAUUAACCUUUUAAGUUAAAGACAGGAUUUCUUAAUUUCCCUUAGUGU